AUUGAACGCUGGCGGCAGGCCUAACACAUGCAAGUCGAGCGGAUGAAGGGAGCUUGCUCCUGGAUUCAGCGUCGGACGGGUGAGUAAUGCCUAGGAAUCUGCCUGGUAGUGGGGGAUAACGUCCGGAAACGGGCGCUAAUACCGCCUACGUCCUGAGGGAGCAAGUGGGGGAUCUUCGGACCUCACGCUAUCAGAUGAGCCUAGGUCGGAUUAGCUAGUUGGUGGGGUAAAGGCCUACCAAGUCGACGAUCCGUAACUGGUCUGAGAGGAUGAUCAGUCACACGGGAACUGAGACACGGUCCAGACUCCUACGGGAGGCAGCAGUGGGGAAUAGUGGACAAUGGGCGAAAGCCUGAUCCAGCCAUGCCGCGUGUGUGAAGAAGGUCUUCGGAUUGUAAAGCACUUUAAGUUGGGAGGAAGGGCAGUAAGUUAAUACCUUGCUGUUUUGACGUUACCAACAGAAUAAGCACCGGCUAACUUCGUG
rnacentral:rRNA from 1 species